rnacentral:tRNA from 1 species
AUGGCUUAAUGGUAGAGCAACGGUCUCAUAAUCGGGAGGUCCUUGGUUCAAAACCAAGU